GUUUCUUGUCUGAGGCAAAAUGAAGGGUGUUAGAGACUGGUUGUUUUCUCAAUUAGUAUCCAAGUCAGUGGUUUCAUCAAGACCAUUACUGGGGGGUGACAGUUUCUUUGGUGAGGAAAAUAAAGAGCACAUGGAUGAAGACCAAGAUGAUGAAGCUGCACAAGCAACCAAUGUUGCAGCACCCACUGGCCCUCAUGCAUCAGACUCUUGUGGGAAUUUGGAGAAUCAAGAUGAUUUGUCCCUG
rnacentral:misc_RNA from 1 species